UACGUAGGCAGCGAGCGUUGUUCGGAGUUACUGGGCGUAAAGGGUGUGUAGGCGGUUGUUUAAGUUUGGUGUGAAAUCUCCCGGCUCAACUGGGAGGGUGCGCCGAAUACUGAAUGACUUCGAGUACGGGAGAGGUGAGUGGAAUUCCUGGUGUAGCGGUGAAAUGCGUAGAUAUCAGGAGGAACACCGGUGGUGUAGACGGCUCACUGGACCGUAACUGACGCUGAGACACGAAAGCGUGGGGAGCGAACAGG
rnacentral:rRNA from 1 species